GCCAGGCGUGGUGACGUGUGCCUGUAGUCUCAGCUACUUGGGAGGCUGAGGUGGGAGGAUCACUUGAGCCUGGGAGUUCUGGGCUGCAGUGCCUAUGCAGAUCGGGUGUCCACACUAAGUUCGGCAUCAAUAUGGUGACCUCCCGGGAGCAGGGGACCACCAGGUUGCCUAAGGAGGGGUGAACUGGCCCAGGUCGGAAACGGAGCAGGUCAAAACUCCCGUGCUGAUCAGUAGUGGGAUCACGUCUGUGAAUAGCCACUGCACUCCAGCCUGGGCAACAUAGCAAGACCUCGUCUCA
rnacentral:SRP_RNA from 1 species